ACCAAGCCCAACAACGUGAGCUUAUAACCCAAGUGGGGUCACUAAGGUGAUAGGACAUAGGCUCAGAUCCGUUGGGCCAAGCUUGCCAUGGCUCUUUGCUGGCCUGCCCAUUCCAAGCCGAGAGUUGGCUCAUGUGAAUCAGGUGAAGGCUUGGACCUUGUGUGCACUAGAGUGGAGGGUUCAAGGGCAAAAACCUCCCGCUCUAGGCAGUUGAGGACAGCAGGUCGAUGCCACUUAGUCCCACCAUGGCCAAUGGGCUAAGUCUUACCGAAUCAAUAAGGUUA
rnacentral:SRP_RNA from 1 species